rnacentral:rRNA from 1 species
AUGCUCUCCGCCGCCGCCUCGGCCAUUCCCAGGCUCCGCUGGGCCGCCGCGCCGCCGGGGCACGCUUCGCCGAGCAACCGGUGGUCUCUGCUGCGGCGGCGCCCGCUCUCCUCCUUCCCGAACGUAGCGCCCACCGCGGGGCCGGGGCCCCUGGAGCCGCCGGACCUUCCCCGCCUCGCCAACUCUGCCCGCAUAUCUCUCUCGCCGCAAGAGGCCGAGGAGUUCGCGCCCAAGAUUCAGCAGGUGGUUGACUGGUUUGGGCAACUUCAGUCGGUUGAUCUUGAAUCCAUUGAGCCUUCACUUAGAGCUGAUACUGCAGCUGGUAGUUCUUUAAGAGAAGAUAAGGCGGAACCAUUUGCUAACAGAGAUGCCAUAAUAGAGGCCCUUCCGAGUUAUGAUGAUCCAUACAUCAAAGUGCCAAAUGCGCUGACCAAAGAAUGA